rnacentral:lncRNA from 1 species
AUUGUAAGCCGAGGGCCAGAUUGUGAGAAUUGUAAGCCGAGGGCCAGAUUGUGAGAGUUGUAAGCCAAGGGCUAGACUGUGAGAGUCGUAAGUCGAAGACCAGACUAUGAGAGUUGUGAGCCGAGGGCGAGACUGUGAGAGUUGUGAGCCGAGGGCCAGACUGUGAGAGUUGUAAGCCGAGGGCUAGAUUGCGAUAGUACUGAGCCGGGGAUAAGCUUGGUGCUAUCUCUUCUUCUUAGUUUUCUUGUUUCUUUUGUGUUAGUGUUGAUUCUAGUGAAGAGAAUCAAUUUAAUGAAUUAAUGUUUGAUUUACGAAGUUAUUUA